rnacentral:rRNA from 1 species
GAUGAACGCUGGCGGCGUGCCUAAUACAUGCAAGUCGAGCGAACAGAUGAGGAGCUUGCUCCUCUGACGUUAGCGGCGGACGGGAGUGUAACACGUGGAUAACCUACUUAUAAGACGGGGAUAACUUCGGGAAACCGGAGCUAAUACCGGAGAAGAUAUUGAACCGCAUUGUUCAAUAGUGAAAGACGGCUUUUCUGUCACUUAUAGAUGGAUCCCCGCCGGAUUAGCUAGUUGGGAAGGUCACGGCUUACCAAGGCAACGAUGCGUAGACGACCUGAGAGGGGGAUCGGCCACACGGGAACUGAGACACGGUCCAUACUCCUACGGGAGGCAGCAGUAGGGAAUCGUCCGCAACAGGCGAAAGCAUGACGGAGCAACGCCGAGUGAGUGAUGAAGGUCUUCGGAUCGUAAAACUCUGUUAUUAGGGAAGAACAAAUGUGUAAGGAAAUAUGCACGUCUUGACGGUACCUAAUCAGAAAGCCACGGCUAACUACGUG